ensembl:snoRNA
GCAUGGCCGAAUUCUGCUCCAGCUGAUCUGUGCUGGAUGCAGUCAGACACCAUGCAAAAGAAAAGCCUCCUUCCCGCUAAAUGAGCAGACGAGCACCUCCGAUGGUCUUGUCCAGCUGCACAGGAUCGAGUACAAGU